CGGGGCGUGGCGCAGCCUGGUAGCGCGCACCGUUUGGGGCGGUGAGGACCCCGGUUCAAAUCCGGGCGCCCCGA
rnacentral:tRNA from 1 species